CCCUCCCAUCUCAUAGUCAUCUUGGUAGAAAACAUUGACCGAGCUUCGCCCACCAACUGGUUCACCAUCGGAGGCGAAGGCGACAUCCAGAGAACUGCGGCAUCACUUCAAGACAACCUCUUUUCCGACGCCAGUGCAGCGAUACAUUGCGAUAUGGAAAACGUGCAAGAUGUUGAAGGUUCCCUAUCCGUGGCUGUAGUUUAUAACGAAAUGGUAACCGACGCAGUGGAUGAUGACGCCUUUGACAUCGAAGUUACAGACUUGGGCACAAACGGAAAUGCCACUGCAAUCGAGCAAUCUUUGAUAAGCGGGGUUUUAAGCUUCACUCUGACUGAUCAAGUAAAGAAACAUUC